rnacentral:rRNA from 1 species
UGGGGAAUAUUGCACAAUGGAGGGAACUCUGAUGCAGCGACGCCGCGUGAGUGAUGAAGGAAUUCGUUUCGUAAAACUCUGUUCUAUGGGAAGAAAAGGACUGUACCAUAGGAGAAAGCUCCGGCUAACUACGUGCCAGCAGCCGCGGUAAUACGUAGGGGGCUAGCGUUGUCCGGAAUCACUGGGCGUAAAGGGUUCGCAGGCGGAAAUGCAAGUCAGGUGUAAAAGGCAGUAGCUUAACUACUGUAAGCAUUUGAAACUGCAUAUCUUGAGAAGAGUAGAGGUAAGUGGAAUUUUUAGUGUAGCGGUGAAAUGCGUAGAUAUUAAAAAGAAUACCGGUGGCGAAGGCGACUUACUGGGCUCAUUCUGACGCUGAGGAACGAAAGCGUGGGUAGCAAACAGG